GCACUGCCAUGGACUUGUAAAAUACAACUGUGUGAUCUUGGAUGGAUGGAAUGUUACUGCAGUUGGAGAAAGUGGAUCUGGACAUCCAGGGUAUUUAUGAAGAAACCACAUCUGUAAUCUCAUUUGGUUCUUACAACAACCCCGGUGGAUG